rnacentral:rRNA from 1 species
GAUGAACGCUGGCGGCGUGCUUAACACAUGCAAGUCGAACGGAAAGGCCCAAGCUUGGUUGGGUACUCGAGUGGCGAACGGGUGAGUAACACGUGGGUGACCUGCCCUGCACUUCGGGAUAAGCCUGGGAAACUGGGUCUAAUACCGGAUAGGACCACCUGUUGGAUGGUGUGGUGGAGAGAUUUUCGGUGUGGGAGGAGCUAGUGGCCUUUCAGCUUGUUGGUGGGGUAAUGGCCUACCAAGGCGUCGGAGGGGAGGCGGGCGGGGGGGGGGUACGGGCACAAUGGGGAUGGGGAACGGGCCAGACUUCCACGGGGGGGAGGAAGGGGGGAAUUUGGAAAAUGGGGGGGAGGCUGAUGGAAGGACGGCGGGUGGGGGGUGGAGGGCUUCGGGUUGGUAACCCCUUUCGGUAGGGGCGGAAGGGUGAGUGACGGUACCGGGAGAAGAAGCACCGGCUAACUACGUG